rnacentral:tRNA from 1 species
UGAUGUGGCUCAGUGGUAGAGCUCUUGCCUGGUAUGUGCAAGACCCUGGGUUCACCCCUAGCACAG